GUCUCAUUAGGCACAGAGCUUGUACUUUGAGAGAUACUGCGUAUGCCAUAGUGAGGGAAGAAAUAGAUGAAGACUUUGAACAACGCUGUGAAGAAAUUCAAGAAUCUCGUAAGAAAAGAGGUUGUAGCUCUUCAAAGUAUGCUCCCUCUUACUACCGUGUAAUGCCAAAGCAGAACUCCGUUCCUGGGUGUACGAAAACAGACCCAAAGUGUAAUGAAAAAAUGAAGAUAGCAGCAGCACCUGUAGAUGCCAGUACACCCCGCUCUAACAAUUCGUGGGUACGCCGUACGACUCGUGGG